AUUGAACGCUGGCGGCAGGCCUAACACAUGCAAGUCGAGCGGAGCGGCGGACGGGUGAGUAAUGCCUAGGUAUCUGCCUGGUCGUGGGGGAUAACGUCCGGAAACGGGCGCUAAUCCCGCAUCCUAUUAGCUUAGCCUAUGUCGGGUUAGCUAGUUGGUGGGGUAAAGGCCUACCAAGGCGACGAGCCGUAACUGGUCUGAGAGGAUGAUCAGUCACACUGGAACUGGGAAACGGUCCAGACUCCUACGUGAGGCAGCAGUGGGGAAUAUUGGACAAUGGGCGAAAGCCUGAUCCAGCCAUGCCGCGUGUGUGAAGAAGGUCUUCGGAUUGUAAAGCACUUUAAGUUGGGAGGCGUUACCAACAGAGUAGGCACCGGCUAACUUCGUGCCAGCCGCCGCGGUAAUUC
rnacentral:rRNA from 1 species